rnacentral:rRNA from 1 species
AACGAACGCUGGCGGCAGGCUUAACACAUGCAAGUCGAGCGCCCCGCAAGGGGAGCGGCAGACGGGUGAGUAACGCGUGGGAAUCUACCCAUCUCUACGGAAUAACUCAGGGAAACUUGGGCUAAUACCGGAUACGCCCUUUGGGGGAAAGAUUUAUCGCUAAAAGAUCGGCCCGCGUCUGAUUAGCUAGUUGGUGUGGUAAUGGCGCACCAAGGCGACGAUCAGUAGCUGGUCUGAGAGGAUGAUCAGCCACACUGGGACUGAGACACGGCCCAGACUCCUACGGGAGGCAGCAGUGGGGAAUAUUGGACAAUGGGCGCAAGCCUGAUCCAGCCAUGCCGCGUGAGUGAUGAAGGCCCUAGGGUUGUAAAACUCUUUCGGCGGGGACGAUAAUGACGGUACCCGCAGAAGAAGCUCCGGCUAACUUCGUGCCAGCAGCCGCAGUAAUAC